rnacentral:tRNA from 1 species
AAGGUAGAAGCGAAUUAUUGCACUUGGUUUCGGCCCGAGCUUUGUUCUUUGUUAAGGACCUUCCU